rnacentral:rRNA from 1 species
UACAGAGGGUGCAAGCGUUAAUCGGAAUUACUGGGCGUAAAGCGUGCGUAGUCGGCUUUUUAAGUCGGGUGUGAAAUCCCCGGGCUCAACCUGGGAAUUGCAUUGGAAACUAUCCCGCUAGAGGGUCGGAGGGGAGACUGGAAUUCUCGGUGUAGCAGUGAAAUGCGUAGAUAUCGAGAGGAACACCAGUGGCGAAGGCGAGUCUCUGGACGACUCCUGACACUGAGGCACGAAAGCUAGGGGAGCAAACAGG